rnacentral:rRNA from 1 species
GUGUCAGCAGCCGCGGUAAUACAGAGGGGGCAAGCGUUGUUCGGAAUUACUGGGCGUAAAGGGCGCGUAGGCGGCCUUCUAAGUCGAACGUGAAAUCCCCGGGCUCAACCCGGGAACUGCGUCCGAUACUGGAAGGCUUGAAUCCGGGAGAGGGAUGCGGAAUUCCAGGUGUAGCGGUGAAAUGCGUAGAUAUCUGGAGGAACACCGGUGGCGAAGGCGGCAUCCUGGACCGGCAUUGACGCUGAGGCGCGAAAGCCAGGGGAGCAAACGGGAUUAGAAACCCCCGUAGUCC